rnacentral:rRNA from 1 species
UACAGGGGGUGCAAACGUUGCUCGGAAUUAUUGGGCGUAAAGCGCACGUAGGCGGUUUGUUAUGUCGGAUGUGAAAGCCCUUGGCUCAACUGAGGAAGUGCAUCCGAAACUGGCAAGCUAGAGUAUGUAAGAGGGUCGCGGAAUUCCCGGUGUAGAGGUGAAAUUCGUAGAUAUCGGGAGGAACACCGGCGGCGAAGGCGGCGACCUGGGACAAUACUGACGCUGAGGUGCGAAAGCGUGGGGAGCAAACAGG